rnacentral:rRNA from 1 species
AACGAACGCUGGCGGCAUGCCUAACACAUGCAAGUCGAACGAGACCUUCGGGUCUAGUGGCGCACGGGUGCGUAACGCGUGGGAACCUGCCUUUAGGUUCGGAAUAACUCUCCGAAAGGGGUAGGCUAAUACCGAAUAAUGUCUUCGGACCAAAGAUUUAUCGGUUCUGGAUGAGCCCGCGUUGGAUUAGCUAGUUGGUGAGGUAAUGGCUCACCAAGGCGACGAUCCAUAGCUGGUCUGAGAGGAUGAUCAGCCACACUGGGACUGAGACACGGCCCAGACUCCUACGGGAGGCAGCAGUGGGGAAGUAUUGGACAAUGGGCGAAAGCGUGACGCAGCAACGCCGCGUGGAGGAAGACGGUCUUCGGAUUGUAAACUCCUUUCAGUUGGGGCGAAGCUCAAUAGGGUUAAUAGCCCAGCGGAGUGACGGUACCCCUCAGAAGAAGCCCCGGCUAACUACGUGCCAGCCGCCGCCGUAAC